ACGCACGCUGGCGGCGUGCCUAAUACAUGCAAGUAGCACGCUGAAGGAGGAGCUUGCUUCUCUGGAUGAGUUGCGAACGGGUGAGUAACGCGUAGGUAACCUGCCUGGUAGCGGGGGAUAACUAUUGGAAACGAUAGCUAAUACCGCAUAAGAGUAGAUGUUGCAUGACAUUUGCUUAAAAGGUGCAAUUGCAUCACUACCAGAUGGACCUGCGUUGUAUUAGCUAGUUGGUGGGGUACGGCUCACCAAGGCGACGAUACAUAGCCGACCUGAGAGGGUGAUCGGCCACACUGGGACUGAGACACGGCCCAGACUCCUACGGGAGGCAGCAGUAGGGAAUCUUCGGCAAUGGACGGAAGUCUGACCGAGCAACGCCGCGGGAGUGAAGAAGGUUGUCGGAUCGUAAAGCUCUGUUGUAAGAGAAGAACGAGUGUGAGAGUGGAAAGUUCACACUGUGACGGUAGCUUACCAGAAAGGGACGGCUAACUACGUG
rnacentral:rRNA from 1 species